rnacentral:rRNA from 1 species
UGCGAAGGGGGCGAGCGUUAUUCGGAAUCACUGGGCGUAAAGCGUGCGUAGGCUGUUCUGCAAGUCAGAAGUGAAAGCCCAAGGCUCAACCUUGGAAGCGCUUUUGAAACUGCAGGACUAGAAUUUGGGAGAGGAUAGCGGAAUUGUCAGUGUAGCAGUGAAAUGCGUAGAUAUUGACAGGAACACCAGUGGCGCAAGCGGCUAUCUGGACCAACAUUGACGCUGAGGCACGAAAGCGUGGGGAUCAAACAGGAUUAGAUACCCUUGUAGU